UACGUAGGGUGCAAGCGUUAAUCGGAAUUACUGGGCGUAAAGCGUGCGCAGGCGGUUUUGUAAGUCUGAUGUGAAAUCCCCGGGCUCAACCUGGGAAUUGCAUUGGAGACUGCAAGGCUAGAAUCUGGCAGAGGGGGGUAGAAUUCCACGUGUGAGCAGUGAAAUGCGUAGAGAUGUGGAGGAACACCGAUGGCGAAGGCAGCCCCCUGGGUC
rnacentral:rRNA from 1 species